AGUGAACGCUGGCGGUAGGCCUAACACAUGCAAGUCGAACGGCAGCACAGGAGAGCUUGCUCUCUGGGUGGCGAGUGGCGGACGGGUGAGGAAUACAUCGGAAUCUACUUUUUCGUGGGGGAUAACGUAGGGAAACUUACGCUAAUACCGCAUACGACCUACGGGUGAAAGCAGGGGACCUUCGGGCCUUGCGCGAUUGAAUGAGCCGAUGUUGGAUUAGCGAGUUGGCGGGGUAAAGGCCCACCAAGGCGACGAUCCGUAGCUGGUCUGAGAGGAUGAUCAGCCACACUGGAACUGAGACACGGUCCAGACUCCUACGGGAGGCAGCAGUGGGGAAUAUUGGACAAUGGGCGCAAGCCUGAUCCAGCCAUACCGCGUGGGUGAAGAAGGCCUUCGGGUUGUAAAGCCCUUUUGUUGGGAAAGAAAUCCAGCUGGCUAAUACCCGGUUGGGAUGACGGUACCCAAAGAAUAAGCACCGGCUAACUUCGUGCCAGCAGCCGCAGUAA
rnacentral:rRNA from 1 species